rnacentral:lncRNA from 1 species
CGAUUAAAAUAUGUUAGGGAAAUUACUAAGACAAUCCGGCAUCGCUACGGAUUAAUUUUUACUACGAAUUGUCGGAAUCUGUAGAAAUUACGCUGACAUUUGACGUAUUCAUUCAACUUUUGUCCAACGGAGCAUUGUUGCGAGUUUUCUGCGACCGUUGGAAGUGUUUGUGGAUUUCGGACAACUUUCGAAUAAUUAUUAGUGUUUAUUGCAAAGAAAACUAUUUAAAGUAGUUUUUUAACUAUCUACAAUGGUUCGCCAGUGCAUAGUUUGUUAAAGGUGGACUAUUCUAACUCCUGAUUGAUAUUUGGACGCGUUCCUAUAAAUACUGAGCUUAGACAAUGAUCGAUUUCACUCUUGAAUUUGAAAAAUCAAACUAACGUGUGUCCAAAUUUGUUCUGAUGAUUUUGAUAAGAGCAAUAUUAUGAUCGCCGAAUUAACUGAUCGAAGGCAAAUAAGACCAAAUUCUGAGCCUCAAAUAGAUAGUACCAUUUUUGCUGGGGCUUUAUCAUACAGGUUUUCUUCUAGUUUGUACCGCCACCCAAAAAAUGUUUUAGGUAAAUGAACCUCCAGACCAGCUGAGGGACUAGAGAAGGUCCCUACCUAGUCCCGCGAUUGGCAGUUUGGCUGGCCCCUCAAAUUUGAUUUUGCCUAAAAUCAUACAAGAUAAACUAGCCCUUCUCAAGAAGCCCUUCCCUCAAAACAACAGAAACGGCAUUGGAAAAAAAAGUUGGAAUUAACCAGUAUGUGCUCUUUCAUAGUAAGACAAUCCUCAUCUUCUGAUCUCUCAAUAGUUGGAUAUUUAUUAUCUCAAGAAAGUCGUCAAAGUAUCAGAAAAAGAAAGAAGUAUGUUAAUGAGGCAUUAUAAUGAUAUUAUGUAGAAAUUUAAGUCUUGUAAAAAUUUGGAAACAAAGAAAAUGAAAAAUACAUACUUUACAAAUAGGUCUUAGAAGAUUGAAAAAUAAAAUAAUAUCAAUGCAUCAGUUAAUUGAUUACUUAAAAGAAAAAUCUUUGAUAAGUGAAUCAACUGAAUUGACCAUUCAGGCUUCCUUAGCUGAACCAGUACAAAGUAUUUUUGAAAGAAUGUUAAAAGGACCUGCCACACAAAAAUCCAAUCUUCUGCUACUAUCCUUUGCUUUAACAUUGUCAUUUUAUUCGCCGAAAACAUAGAAUUUUAUAAGGGAUACAUAAACUGGCCCAGAGUUUUCUUUAGGAGGCCUCUAAAUUCCAUUUAGUUUUCAACAAUAUUUUUGAUAUUUUUAACUCUCAGAAUGGAUUUACAAAAUAUUCAUAUAAAAAAUUAUCAAAAAUAUAAGAACAACAUACUUUUAAUAAUUUUGGAAUAAUUAAAUUGUAUAUUAUUGGACUUACUUUAAAAGAAAGGUCAACCAUAGUCACAAAGAAAAACGGGAUUUUUGGGCUUUCUAAUUUGUAUGGAAAGCUUACAACGUCCACGUAUACAAAAAGCAAAAACGGAAGGUAAUAAUAUAUUCAAUCAAUGUAAAAAUGAGAAGAGCAUUGUGGGAUUAAAAAACAUGAUGGUGAUAGAUUGUCUAAAACUAAUAGGAGUACUGGUAUUUCUCAAAACAAAACUGAUGGUUACAAAGAAACAGAAGAAAAGGGAAGAUAUUAAUUUACUAGACAAAAGGCUGUUCUUUUGUAAUAUAGAGAUGGGCAAAAUUCAAAGUAGUAGUAUUCAAAACAGAGAAGAACAUAAGCUAAAGAAAGAAAGGGUUGUUUGACAUUGAAAUAAAAAAGAACAGUAAAAUUCUCAAAGAGAACUUAUUUAAUAAUUUUAAUUAGUGUUUAUAUUGUAAUGUAAAAAAUGUAAUGUAUGUUAUUUCUGAAUAAAAGACAUUUAAUAAUGA